CUGUAAUGAUGACUGACUUAGGACACCUUUGGAUUAAUCAUGAAAAUAAUACUGAUUUCUGAACAGC
rnacentral:snoRNA from 1 species